rnacentral:rRNA from 1 species
UACGUAGGGCGCAAGCGUUUGUCCGGAAUUAUUGGGCGUAAAGAGCUCGUAGGCGGUUUGUCGCGUCGGCUGUGAAAUCCUGGGGCUUAACUCCGGGCCUGCAGUCGAUACGGGCAGACUUGAGUGUGGUAGGGGAGACUGGAAUUCCUGGUGUAGCGGUGAAAUGCGCAGAUAUCAGGAGGAACACCGGUGGCGAAGGCGGGUCUCUGGGCCAUUACUGACGCUGAGGAGCGAAAGCGUGGGGAGCGAACAGG